GUAGCGAACAUGGGAUGGGAGUGAGGAAGUGAAGAUGGACCCAAGCAGCAAGGGACCACCCCAAACACCAGACCAGGGGAAAAUGAGGUCCCGGGUGUUUGGGUCCCCCGAGACUCCUAAAAGGGUCCGUGAUCAUCCCCAGGACCCUCCUCCGCGCAGGACGCCUGGCCGACCGCUGGCUGGAGCCCUGAGGCCCGUUUGCCUGCGGUUGUCAUAGCAACGGGGCUCGAAGGCUGCCUAACCCUCCCGCCCACCUUUUCCCUCAGGGUAGGGCGAGUCAGCGUUGCGAGGCCACUCACCACAACGGCCGGCGGGCUGCCCCUGACAGAGGCACACACUUGGACCCGAGUGGUCCCCCAGCCCCGAACGCCACACCUAAAGAAGCUGAACUUUUCUAAGGCCCGGGAUGCCGACCCAGGAGGUGGACGGGGUCUGCACCGGGACAAAGCGCGACAGCAAACGCGAAGCCCCAGCCUUCCGCGCGCAAGUGAGGCCUGUGAGGAGAGCGGGGGCCGCACAACGGCGCCCGCGUGCCCGGGAGCCUGGUCUCCGCGGGCCGCACCCCAGACACGGAGCGGGGAAGCCUGCCUCGAGCACCGUGUCAAGUAAAACGCUUUUCAACAGCACUGUCGCUAUCGUGACGGGAUGUUCCGACUUAUUCUCAGUCAUGGCCCAGGCGGCCGGUGCUCGUGCGGCGAGGCUCGCCCGUCCAGGGGGCCUCAUACGAUGUGAACGUGGUCAGGGCGUCUCUGCUGAGAGCUGGGUGUGGAUCCUCACAGAAAGGCUGAAGUGGCCCGUGACGAGUCAAAUAACAUAUCUCUAGACUUGUCCCAAGCCUCUGUGGGACCAUCUCCAAUGUAUGUCGCAAGCAAUGGAGCCGUGAAAAGCUGGCUACAGCUGUAUGCUAAUGUUCUAUUAUUGAUCUGAACUAGGAAUGGCUUCUGUGGGCGGGUCCUCUCUCCAGCAGCUGUCGGGAAGAAAUUCAACUCUACUUGGACUAGCAUAAUUAUUCAAGGCAGAUGUCUUCUAAAAUUAAGGUGAUUGAUAGCCAGUAACAGUACAGCAAAGCAAUUAAUUUUAUUGCUUACAGGUGUACAUUUGGCAACUACUUAAUCCUGUUGCUUUCAUAGGAGGGAAAAAAGUGCUCAAAAUGGGCACAAGUAGUUGGUAACUUCAUUUUGGAAACCAUUUUUCAACCACAAAUACUCCCUGCCAUGUACUAUAUUAAUAGAACUUUGGGAUCUUGGCCAAGCAAUGUUCUGGAAAAUUACAGAACUAUCGUCUAACAAGAGUCUGGAAGAGAUGUGAGAAUUUGCACUCUGUAUGUCCCCCUUGCCUGUAUAGAAAGAUGGCAUGAUUGCCCAUCCAAGCCUAAGUCUGAGCAUGAGUUUGAGGAGAUAAACUACUAUCUGCUUCACUGAACUGUGACAUGCAUGGAUCCGCCUUUAACAAACCCCUACGAAGGCUUUUAGACUCCGGACCCUUCCAAAAAACAACUUCAAACAUCUGACAAAGCCUAGUUAAGGGACAACACUGGUAGGAAGAAUUGUUGGAAAGGCAUGCUGGCUGGAACAUUUUCCCAACUUUUCUCUGACCCUAGCAACAGGAAUUAUUUGACUACAAGAGAUGACUCGGCAGUUAAAGCAUGCUCUGCUCUUCCAGAGGAGCGGAGUUCAGUUUCCAGCCUGUAUCAGCAGGUUCCAGGGAUGUCAAACACCUCUGGCCUCCUCAAGGAUGUGCACACAAAUCACAUACCCACACUUAGACACACACAUACAAGAUUAAACACUGUAAAAAUAAAACAAUUUACAAAAGA
rnacentral:lncRNA from 1 species